GUGCUCCCUUUGGCAGCACAUAUACUAAAAUUGGAGCGAUACAGAGAAAAUUAGCAUGGCCUCUGAGCAAGAAUGACACACAAAUUCAUGAAGUGUUCCAUAUAUAA
ensembl:snRNA RNU6-1340P RNA, U6 small nuclear 1340, pseudogene